rnacentral:rRNA from 1 species
CCUACGGGUGGCAGCAGUGAGGAAUAUUGGUCAAUGGGCGAGAGCCUGAACCAGCCAAGUCGCGUGAGGGAAGACUGCCCUAUGGGUUGUAAACUUCUUUUGUCAGGGAGCAACGCCGGCUACGUGUAGCCGGACUGAGAGUAGCUGAAGAAAAAGCAUCGGCAAACUCCGUGCCAGCAGCCGCGGCAAUACGGGGGAUGCGAGGGUUAUCCGGUUUUAUGGGGUUAAAAGGGUGCGUAGGCGGAAUGCCAAGUCAGCGGUAAAAUCGCGGGGCUAAACCUAGCGCCGCCGUUGAAACUGGCGUUCUUGAGUGGGCGAGAGGUAUGCGGAAUGCGUGGUGUAGCGGUGAAAUGCAUAGAUAUCACGAAGAACUCCGAUUGCGAAGGCAGCAUACCGGCGCCCAACUGACGCUGAAGCACGAAAGCGUGGGUAUCGAACAGGAUUAGAUACCCUGGUAGUC